rnacentral:rRNA from 1 species
GCAUAUCAAUAAGCGGAGGAAAAGAAACCAACCGGGAUUGCCUUAGUAACGGCGAGUGAAGCGGCAAAAGCUCAAAUUUGAAAUCUGGUACCUUCGGUGCCCGAGUUGUAAUUUGGAGAGGGCAACUUUGGGGCCGUUCCUUGUCUAUGUUCCUUGGAACAGGACGUCAUAGAGGGUGAGAAUCCCGUGUGGCGAGGAGUGCGGUUCUUUGUAAAGUGCCUUCGAAGAGUCGAGUUGUUUGGGAAUGCAGCUCUAAGUGGGUGGUAAAUUCCAUCUAAAGCUAAAUAUUGGCGAGAGACCGAUAGCGAACAAGUACAGUGAUGGAAAGAUGAAAAGAACUUUGAAAAGAGAGUGAAAAAGUACGUGAAAUUGUUGAAAGGGAAGGGCAUUUGAUCAGACAUGGUGUUUUGUGCCCUCUGCUCCUUGUGGGUAGGGGAAUCUCGCAUUUCACUGGGCCAGCAUCAGUUUUGGUGGCAGGAUAAAUCCAUAGGAAUGUAGCUUGCCUCGGUAAGUAUUAUAGCCUGUGGGAAUACUGCCAGCUGGGACUGAGGACUGCGACGUAAGUCAAGGAUGCUGGCAUAAUGGUUAUAUGCCGCCCGUC